UAUACCGUGAAACUGCGAAUGGCUCAUUAAAUCAGUUAUCGUUUAUUUGAUAGUACCUUACUACUUGGAUAACCGUGGUAAUUCUAGAGCUAAUACAUGCUGAAAACCCCGACUUCGGAAGGGGUGUAUUUAUUAGAUAAAAAACCAAUGCCCUUCGGGGCUCCUUGGUGAUUCAUAAUAACUUCUCAGAUCGCAUGGCCUUGCGCCGGCGACGGUUCAUUCAAAUUUCUGCCCUAUCAACUUUCGAUGGUAAGGUAUUGGCUUACCAUGGUUUCAACGGGUAACGGGGAAUUAGGGUUCGAUUCCGGAGAGGGAGCCUGAGAAACGGCUACCACAUCCAAGGAAGGCAGCAGGCGCGCAAAUUACCCAAUCCCGACACGGGGAGGUAGUGACAAUAAAUACUGAUACAGGGCUCUUUUGGGUCUUGUAAUUGGAAUGAGUACAAUUUAAACCUCUUAACGAGGAACAAUUGGAGGGCAAGUCUGGUGCCAGCAGCCGCGGUAAUUCCAGCUCCAAUAGCGUAUAUUAAAGUUGUUGCAGUUAAAAAGCUCGUAGUUGAACCUUUGGCCUGGCUGGCAGGUCCGCCUCACCGCGUGCACUUGUCCGGCCGGGCCUUCUCUUCUGGAGAACCGCAUGCCCUUCACUGGGUGUGUUGGGGACCAGGACUUUUACUUUGAAAAAAUUAGAGUGUUCAAAGCAGGCCUUUGCUCGAAUACGUUAGCAUGGAAUAAUAGAAUAGGACGUGCGGUCCUAUUUUGUUGGUUUCUAGGACCGCCGUAAUGAUUAAUAGGGACAGUCGGGGGCAUCAGUAUUCAAUUGUCAGAGGUGAAAUUCUUGGAUUUAUUGAAGACUAACUACUGCGAAAGCAUUUGCCAAGGAUGUUUUCAUUAAUCAGUGAACGAAAGUUAGGGGAUCGAAGACGAUCAGAUACCGUCGUAGUCUUAACCAUAAACUAUGCCGACUAGGGAUCGGGCGGUGUUAUUAUUUUGACUCGCUCGGCACCUUACGAGAAAU
rnacentral:rRNA from 4 species